UGUGUGUGUGUGUGUGUGUGUGUGUGUAUAACGUUCUCUGUGGAGGUUACCUCUGGUUUCUGUAGCUGAUGCCAUUUUGUUUUUCCUCUUGCGGCUCUGUUGAGGUGUUAAGAGACUGCGGCACUCAGCUUGGGAAUCACGAUUACCAAUGAUUGAAUGCGCACAAGAGGCCCAUCAUGUUUGCUUUUGUGUAGAAGUCAGUGCUUUUCAUUAAUUAUCUGAAAUAUUGGUAUUCUUUUUUUUUUUUUUUAAUACUAUUGUUUUCAAUCUCAAUAUUUCCCUCCAUAUGUUUCCCAUGAGUUAUCUUUGCCCACUCCUCACCGUCAGAUUGCUGAAUUGGUAUUUUUGGAAAAAAAAAAAGGAAAAAAAAGGUAAAGCACAAGAAUGAAUAAAGUUAUACAAGUUCUAUGCUUGAUAAAAUGUAUUUCUUUUUCAGCUUUUGCCAGUGUUUCUCCUCAAACUGGGUUCAUGUGCAAAAUGCGGGGCAUACUAUUGAUUUUUUUUUAUUCUCUUCCCCCCCCCCCCCCCAAAUAUUGUGAAGCUGCAUUUGAGGUUUUUUUUUACCCCUUUCCAAGAUGGCCGUAUACUCUAUUUAUUUUUGGAGCUGACUAGCUCCUUUCAAAUUGCUUUGUGGUUCAUGUAUCACAAUGAUGUGUACAGGCAAUGCUAACAGCUUUGUGAAGAGCUUCAGUAAUUGACACCACUUGCACACAUAUACGCACAGAAACACACACACACACACACUUGGCCAUUGAAUAAAGCAAGGUACACCAGCUUCUGGGAACAGGCCACUUGUGAAGUGGCUCUCACACUGUCCUGUCUCCAACCACAGGAACGCAGGGACGCUGUGAGCUCAUUCUUUCCCACAGUGGAAUAUAGCAGAGCAUGCAUUUCAGAUCUCACAGAUGAUCUCAUUAUGUCCGCCCCCACAGCACAUCCACACACACAAACAGUUAUUUAGACGGGGGGGGAAACAUAUCAAAUUGCUGUAGUUAUCCUGUUUUACUUCGUUCACCCAUGUUCAACUAUUGGAAGACGCUACCUUCAGCCGGACGAAUGGACAACUAACUGAUAUACUAGUGCGUUUGCAAAUGUUGCUUAUCUUAAUGAGGUCGGAAGUUUGAACUGCGCUCACUUUUGAUGCCCUUUUUUCCUUCUCGAGGCUUUGAACACCAGUUGACCUUCAAGCAUUCUAAUUUGGGUUUCUGCAUUCUGUGGACAUAAUGUGAAGUAAAACAUCCCCAAAUGAAACCAAAGUAUACGGAACUUUGUUGUACACUGACCUUUGCCUCCUUGUGAAUGAACUAAAGUAAUGGAGAAUCUUUACACUAUUACAUCAUAUAUUGUGCUCACCAGAGUCAAUUUGCCAGCCAUUAUUAUUGUCACUAUAGUGACUAUGUUGGGAAGGGGGGGGGGGGAAAGUAAGUGGACCAUAUUAAAGUAAAUGUCCUCAUAAUGUAAGUGUUGGUUCAGAUGUGCAGAUGCCUAAGUGGUCAGAACUGCUGCACUCAUGGUGUCAAAUGUUGAUUUGUUUUUUGUUUAAUUUGUUUUCUUUUCUGGGGAAAUGGUUUUUAAAAUAGAGGUUUGAACCAUGCACAAAAAGCUCUUAGUCUUGUUGUACACGUUCAGCCUCAAUUUAUUUUCCCUUUCUUUCGAUUUUUGUUACGAUCAGGAUAUGUCCUGGCGUGUAGCUUCAAUGAUGUCCUCCUGUUCACUUUGUGCUUCCUAACACUUGUGUCUGCUGAGAGCUUGAAGUGUUGGGAAAUCAACUUAAAAUACAAACUAUACUGUCUCAUCUUCAGCCUACAGCGUUAUUACUUUUUUUUUGUCAAUUGUUCAAAUAAAAACUUGUGGAGAAAAAAAAAGCUGUUUCUACUGAAGUGUAGUCAGAAGACUAUACUGUGCUUUCAAAUAUGGGGAUAUUUGAUAAUUGCAGUCUUUCCACUCUUCUGACUUCCCUGCUGAAGAAUGUGCACUGUAACCAAAAGAAUGAAAUAAAGAGAAACUGAUCUUCACUCUGUUAGUAUGUAUUGUAGCCUCACAAAGUCCACUUAGCUGUAGGUUACUUUUAAUCAGGUGAUUUGAAUGUGCUAUCUAUAUCUGAACUUUACACUGACACUCAAAACCUUGAUUGCAAAUAUUAAAUUAGUCAUCUAUUCAUCAGAAAAUGAAGGGUAUCAAAGACUUGCCCAGAUUGUGAUGCCAGCAACAAAGGUUUCAACAUAUUCCUGUUGUAUUAACUAAUCAGGACUAUCUAGAGAUGGGCCUCAUGCCUGCCAGUUAUUUGAUGCAAGCACUGUACAUUGUUGGGAAUGGAUAGUCAUAUAGUGAGC
ensembl:lncRNA